ACCCGCUGGACUUAAGCAUAUCACUAAGCGGAGGAAAAGAAACUAACUAGGAUGGCCUCAGUAACGGCGAGUGAAGCGGCCAGAGCCCAAGAUGGAAAUCUCCGUGCUUCGCACGGCGAAUUGUAAUCUAGAGAGGCUAUGCUCACCGGGAUCUAACGCAGAAGUGCCCUCGAACGGGCCGCCAGAGAGGGUGAUAGCCCCGUAUGUGGUGUUGGAUCCUAACGAGCAGGUCUUCAAAGAGUCGGGUUGUUUUGUAUCGCAGCCCUAAGCUGGAGAUAAACUUCUUCUAAGGCUAAAUAUAUGUGGGAAACCGAUAGCGAACAAGUACUGUGAAGGAAAGAUGAAAAGCACUUUGGAAAGAGAGUCAAAAGACCUGAAACCGUUGAGGAGGAAGCGGUAGAGAUGAAUUCUGCUGAGUGGUACGGGGAAGUAGGCUGGGUCAUGGCUGGCGUGUCGUACGUCAAAGGCGACUGUUAGUUCGAGGUUCUAGCCUGCCACUUGUAGCGCUUAGUGAGGCCGGAUGGAGUCACGCGGCCACAGAAGCCUUGUUGGCCUCGCGCAUUUAUGUGCAGCCAAUGAGUGCUGGUGGCUGAGUGGCUUGAGGGAGCUUAGUGCGAUCCGGUCAAAAUGGUCUUUACCGGCCCGUCUUGAAACACGGACCAAGGAGUCUAACGUACACGCGAGUGUGACGGUGGAAAAACCGACACGCGAAAUGAAGGUGAGUGAUGCCAAGCGCAAGCAGCAGCAUCGACCGACCAUGAGCCUCUGGCGAAAGGUUUGAGUACGAGUGUGUCCGCUAGGACCCGAAAGAUGGUGAACUAUGCCUGCGUAGGGUGAAGCCAGGGGAAACUCUGGUGGAGGCUCGUAGCGAUACUGACGUGCAAAUCGUUCGUCGAACGUGGGUAUAGGGGCGAAAGACUAAUCGAACCAUCUAGUAGCUGGUUCCCUCCGAAGUUUCCCUCAGGAUAGCAAGGACAAUUGCGCAGUUUUAUUAGGUAAAGCGAAUGAUUAGAGGCAUCGGGGGCUACUUGCUCUCGACCUAUUCUCAAACUCUAAAUUGGUAAGAACCCGGGCCUGUCUUAAGUGAGGCGUCGGGGCUCAAUGCGUGUCCUUAGUGGGCCAUUUUUGGUAAGCAGAACUGGCGAUGAGGGAUGCACCUAACGUCGGGUUAAGGCGCCAAACUGCGCGCUCAUCCGAUACCACAAAGGGUGUUGGUCCAUAUAGACAGCAGGACGGUGGCCAUGGAAGUCGGAACCCGCUAAGGAGUGUGUAACAACUCACCUGCCGAAUGGACUAGCCCCGAAAAUGGAUGGCGCUUAAGCGCGCGGCCGAUACCCGACCAUUGCCGUGAGAGUGAGGCGGCAAUGAGUAGGAGGGCGUGGGCGUCGUAGCGAAGCCUCUGGCGUGAGCCUGGGUUGAACGGCGUCUAGUGCAGAUCUUGGUGGUAGUAGCAAUUAUUCAAAUGAGAACUUUGAAGGCCGAAGUGGAGAAGGUUUCCGGGAGAACAGCAAUUGGUCACGGGUGACUCGAUCCUAAGACAUGGGGGAAGCCCCUAGUAAGAGCUGAUAAGCUGUAGUCGAAAGGGAAUGAGGUUAAUAUUCCUCAAGCUGGAUGUGGGUGUUAUAUGGCAACAUAAAUGAGCCUGGGGACGCCGGCGCGAGCCUCUGGAAGAGUUCUCUUUUCUUUUUAACAGGCUAGCGGCCCUGAAAUGGGAUUAUCCCGAGAUAGGGCGGCAUGUCUGGAAGAGCGCCUCGCUUUCUGGGGCGUCAGGUGCGCUCGCGACGGUCCAUGAAAACCCAGGUGAGAUGGUUUCACACCAGGUCGUACCCAUAACCGCAUCAGGUCUCCAAGGUU
rnacentral:rRNA from 1 species